UACGUAGGGGGCAAGCGUUGUCCGGAAUCAUUGGGCGUAAAGCGCGUGUAGGCGGCUGAGUAAGUCUGCUCUGAAAGCCCGGGGCUCAACCCCGGGAGGCGGGUGGAUACUGCUCAGCUCGAGUCCGGAAGAGGAGUGUGGAAUUCCUGGUGUAGCGGUGAAAUGCGUAGAUAUCUGGAGGAACACCGGUGGCGAAGGCGGCAUCCUGGACCGGCAUUGACGCUGAGGCGCGAAAGCCAGGGGAGCGAACGGG
rnacentral:rRNA from 1 species